UUAAGCGACUAAGCGUACACGGUGGAUGCCCUGGCAGUCAGAGGCGAUGAAGGGCGUGCUAAUCUGCGAUAAGCGCCGGUAAGGUGAUAUGAACCGUUAUAACCGGCGAUACCCGAAUGGGGAAACCCAGUGUGAUUCGUCACACUAUCAUUAACUGAAUCCAUAGGUUAAUGAGGCGAACCGGGGGAACUGAAACAUCUAAGUACCCCGAGGAAAAGAAAUCAACCGAGAUUCCCCCAGUAGCGGCGAGCGAACGGGGAGGAGCCCAGAGCCUGAAUCAGCAUGUGUGUUAGUGGAAGCGUCUGGAAAGGCGCGCGAUACAGGGUGACAGCCCCGUACACAAAAGCGCAUGUGCUGUGAGCUCGAUGAGUAGGGCGGGACACGUGGUAUCCUGUCUGAAUAUGGGGGGACCAUCCUCCAAGGCUAAAUACUCCUGACUGACCGAUAGUGAACCAGUACCGUGAGGGAAAGGCGAAAAGAACCCCGGCGAGGGGAGUGAAAAAGAACCUGAAACCGUGUACGUACAAGCAGUGGGAGCACNNNNNNNGUGUGACUGCGUACCUUUUGUAUAAUGGGUCAGCGACUUAUAUUCUGUAGCAAGGUUAACCGUAUAGGGGAGCCGGAGGGAAACCGAGUCUUAACCGGGCGUUAAGUUGCAGGGUAUAGACCCGAAACCCGGUGAUCUAGCCAUGGGCAGGUUGAAGGUUGGGUAACACUAACUGGAGGACCGAACCGACUAAUGUUGAAAAAUUAGCGGAUGACCUGUGGCUGGGGGUGAAAGGCCAAUCAAACCGGGAGAUAGCUGGUUCUCCCCGAAAGCUAUUUAGGUAGCGCCUCGUGAAUUCAUCUCCGGGGGUAGAGCACUGUUUCGGCUAGGGGGCCAUCCCGGCUUACCAACCCGAUGCAAACUGCGAAUACCGGAGAAUGUUAUCACGGGAGACACACGGCGGGUGCUAACGUCCGUCGUGAAGAGGGAAACAACCCAGACCGCCAGCUAAGGUCCCAAAGUCAUGGUUAAGUGGGAAACGAUGUGGGAAGGCCCAGACAGCCAGGAUGUUGGCUUAGAAGCAGCCAUCAUUUAAAGAAAGCGUAAUAGCUCACUGGUCGAGUCGGCCUGCGCGGAAGAUGUAACGGGGCUAAACCAUGCACCGAAGCUGCGGCAGCGAACGUAUCACCCAAGACAACUUUACGGAGUUGACGAUUGACGGAGCGAAGCGACGUCAAAGCGUUCAUUAAAGUCGAGUUGGCUUAGGGAUACGUUCGUUGGGUAGGGGAGCGUUCUGUAAGCCUGUGAAGGUGUGUCGUGAGGCAUGCUGGAGGUAUCAGAAGUGCGAAUGCUGACAUAAGUAACGAUAAAGCGGGUGAAAAGCCCGCUCGCCGGAAGACCAAGGGUUCCUGUCCAACGUUAAUCGGGGCAGGGUGAGUCGACCCCUAAGGCGAGGCCGAAAGGCGUAGUCGAUGGGAAACGGGUUAAUAUUCCCGUACUUGGUGUUACUGCGAAGGGGGGACGGAGAAGGCUAUGUUGGCCGGGCGACGGUUGUCCCGGUUUAAGCGUGUAGGUGUGUGUUCCAGGUAAAUCCGGUUCACUUUAACACUGAGGCGUGACGACGAGGCACUACGGUGCUGAAGCAACAAAUGCCCUGCUUCCAGGAAAAGCCUCUAAGCAUCAGGUAACACGAAAUCGUACCCCAAACCGACACAGGUGGUCAGGUAGAGAAUACCAAGGCGCUUGAGAGAACUCGGGUGAAGGAACUAGGCAAAAUGGUGCCGUAACUUCGGGAGAAGGCACGCUGACACGUAGGUGAAGUGAUUUACUCAUGGAGCUGAAGUCAGUCGAAGAUACCAGCUGGCUGCAACUGUUUAUUAAAAACACAGCACUGUGCAAACACGAAAGUGGACGUAUACGGUGUGACGCCUGCCCGGUGCCGGAAGGUUAAUUGAUGGGGUCAGCGUAAGCGAAGCUCCUGAUCGAAGCCCCGGUAAACGGCGGCCGUAACUAUAACGGUCCUAAGGUAGCGAAAUUCCUUGUCGGGUAAGUUCCGACCUGCACGAAUGGCGUAAUGAUGGCCAGGCUGUCUCCACCCGAGACUCAGUGAAAUUGAACUCGCUGUGAAGAUGCAGUGUACCCGCGGCAAGACGGAAAGACCCCGUGAACCUUUACUAUAGCUUGACACUGAACAUUGAGCCUUGAUGUGUAGGAUAGGUGGGAGGCUUUGAAGUGUGGACGCCAGUCUGCAUGGAGCCGACCUUGAAAUACCACCCUUUAAUGUUUGAUGUUCUAACGUGGACCCGUAAUCCGGGUUGCGGACAGUGUCUGGUGGGUAGUUUGACUGGGGCGGUCUCCUCCUAAAGAGUAACGGAGGAGCACGAAGGUUGGCUAAUCCUGGUCGGACAUCAGGAGGUUAGUGCAAUGGCAUAAGCCAGCUUGACUGCGAGCGUGACGGCGCGAGCAGGUGCGAAAGCAGGUCAUAGUGAUCCGGUGGUUCUGAAUGGAAGGGCCAUCGCUCAACGGAUAAAAGGUACUCCGGGGAUAACAGGCUGAUACCGCCCAAGAGUUCAUAUCGACGGCGGUGUUUGGCACCUCGAUGUCGGCUCAUCACAUCCUGGGGCUGAAGUAGGUCCCAAGGGUAUGGCUGUUCGCCAUUUAAAGUGGUACGCGAGCUGGGUUUAGAACGUCGUGAGACAGUUCGGUCCCUAUCUGCCGUGGGCGCUGGAGAACUGAGGGGGGCUGCUCCUAGUACGAGAGGACCGGAGUGGACGCAUCACUGGUGUUCGGGUUGUCAUGCCAAUGGCACUGCCCGGUAGCUAAAUGCGGAAGAGAUAAGUGCUGAAAGCAUCUAAGCACGAAACUUGCCCCGAGAUGAGUUCUCCCUGAGACUUAGAGUCUCCUGAAGGAACGUUGAAGACGACGACGUUGAUAGGCCGGGUGUGUAAGCGCAGCGAUGCGUUGAGCUAACCGGUACUAAUGAACCGUGAGGCUUAACCUU
rnacentral:rRNA from 1 species